rnacentral:rRNA from 1 species
UACAGAGGUCCCAAGCGUUGUUCGGAUUCACUGGGCGUAAAGGGUGCGUAGGUGGUUGCGCAAGUCUGAUGUGAAAUCUCCGGGCUCAACCCGGAAAUGGCAUUGGAAACUGCGUGGCUAGAGGGUUGGAGGGGGGACUGGAAUACUUGGUGUAGCAGUGAAAUGCGUAGAUAUCUGGAGGAACACCGGUGGCGAAGGCGGCAUCCUGGACCAACACUGACGCUGAGUGAGCGAAAGCCAGGGGAGCAAACGGG